UUUUAUGUUUUUCUCCUAAAAAUUCAAGUUAUCAUCAUCAAAAACCGUUUUCAAAACGUUUUCAUCGAAUCUGAAAUUUACCCAGAUGUCUGUGUUCUUGGUGUUCUUCACAUCUUCAUGUGUUGAAAGAUGUGAAGAACUUCGAAAGAUCUGACAUGUGCCAGAAAAGUCAACUUCACAACCUUCGAAAGAUUCUUUUCUCGAAGGAUUAUCUCACAACCUCGAAAGAUCAAAUCUGUUCGAAAGACAGAAACUGAUCUGUGAAUCAUCUUUCGAGACCGAAAGAUCUGUGCUCGAAACUUCCAACACCUUCGAAAGAUCAUUUCAACAGCUGUCACAGGAUAAUUAUUUCAACAACUUCGAAGGAUACAUCCUUCGGUUGUGGAAACAGCUGUCACACAAGAAAAAUUGUUGACUUUUGGGGUUGAUGUUGUUGUCGGCUGUUGUUAUCAUCACACAAGAGAAGAAAAUAAAGACAAAAUGAAGAUGAUGUUUAUCGGCUGACUUUGGGGAAAGAGAUUACAACUGUUGUCGGCUAAAUGGAAGUAUAGGGUUGGUCAAUUUUAGCGGUGAUGACUUUAUCAAGUCAAAAAGUGGGCUAUGGAUACCUGUCUGUGUCUGUAUUAAUUGAUAGAGAGCAGACAGAACAGUGACUUUUCGAAGGACAUCGUACACAGUGACUUUAUCAAU
rnacentral:lncRNA from 1 species